UAUACAUAUAUAUAUAUAUGUGUGGUCUCUAUAUAUAUCUAUAUAUAUGGUACAUAUAGGUAGCUCCAUAGUUAUAUGAUUCUUUACACAAUAAUCUCAAUAAAGUUAAUUUGAUCUAAACGUAUCUUACGAGCUCUUAACAUAUGGUACAAUACUUCCGAGUGAUAAACAUGCCACAGUUACACUUUAUAUAU